CAUGAGUUUGAUCCUGGCUCAGAUUGAACGCUGGCGGCAGGCCUAACACAUGCAAGUCGAGCGGAUGACGGGAGCUUGCUCCUUGAUUCAGCGGCGGACGGGUGAGUAAUGCCUAGGAAUCUGCCUGGUAGUGGGGGACAACGUUUCGAAAGGAACGCUAAUACCGCAUACGUCCUACGGGAGAAAGCAGGGGGACCUUCGGGCCUUGCGCUAUCAGAUGAGCCUAGGUCGGAUUAGCUAGUUGGUGGGGUAAUGGCUCACCAAGGCGACGAUCCGUAACUGGUCUGAGAGGAUGAUCAGUCACACUGGAACUGAGACACGGUCCAGACUCCGUACGGGGAGGCAGCGAGUGGGGUAAUAUUGGAACAAGUGGGCGAAAGCCCUGAUCCCAGCCAUGCCGCGUGU
rnacentral:rRNA from 1 species